rnacentral:Y_RNA from 1 species
GGCUGGUCUGAUGGUAGUGGGUUAUCAGAACUUAUUAACAUUAGUGUCACUAAAGUUGGUAUUCAACCCCCCACUGCUAAAUUUGACUGGCUUCUU